rnacentral:rRNA from 1 species
CCGCACCAAGCGGUGGAGCAUGUGGUUUAAUUCGAUGCAACGCGAAUGACCUUCUCCAGGGUUGGCCAUUGAUACGAAUUUCUUUGAAAGAAGAAAGUGCCGUUUGGAGCGUAUACACAGGUGGUGCACGGCUGUCGUCAGCUCGUGUCGUGAGAGGUUGGGUUAAUUCCCCUAACGAGCGCAACCCUUAUUUUUAGUUGCCAUAGGGAACUCUAGAAAGACUGGCCGGUCAUAAACCGGAGGAAGGCGGGGAUGACGUCAAGUCAGCAUGCCCCUUACACCCUGGGCUACACACGUGCUACAAUGGGUGAGACAAUGGGAUGCAAAUCUGCGAAGACUAGCUAAUCUAUAAACUCACUCUAAGUUCGGAUUGUAGGCUGCAACUCGCCUGCAUGAAGUUGGAAUCGCUAGUAAUCGCUGGUCAGCUAUACAGCGGUGAAAUUGUUACCGGGCCUGUA